rnacentral:rRNA from 1 species
UACGUAGGGUGCAAGCGUUGUUCGGAAUCAUUGGGCGUAAAGCGCGCGUAGGCGGUUAGGUAAGUCAAGUGUGAAAUCCCUGGGCUCAACCCAGGAAGUGCACUCGAAACUAACUAGCUAGAAGAUGGUAGAGGAAGGUGGAAUUCCAAGUGUAGAGGUGAAAUUCGUAGAUAUUUGGAGGAAUACCGGUGGCGAAGGCGGCCUUCUGGGCCAUUCUUGACGCUGAGACGCGAAAGCGUGGGUAGCAAACAGG